rnacentral:rRNA from 1 species
UACGUAGGGGGCUAGCGUUGUCCGGAAUCAUUGGGCGUAAAGAGCGUGUAGGCGGCCCGGUAAGUCCGCUGUAAAAGUCAAAGGCUCAACCUUUGAAUGUCAGUGGAUACUGCCGGGCUAGAGUCCGGAAGAGGCGAGUGGAACUCCUGGUGUAGCGGUGGAAUGCGCAGAUAUCGGGAAGAAUACCCGUGGCGAAGGCGGUUCUCUGGGACGGUACUGACGCUGAGACGCGAAAGCGUGGGGAGCGAACAGG